rnacentral:misc_RNA from 1 species
AAAUUGCUGGAUCCGCCUCUGCAUAGUACAGCUGAUAUCGUGACAAGCAGUGGAAUUUUAUGUACAAUACAACACUGCAGCAGUGAUUGAUUUAUUUUCUUGGCAUUCUUUUCUUUCUGAAUUUCACAGGAUGAAAUAUCUUUGAAUACCCCCACCCCCUUAACUUCCUCGCUUCUUUCCGGAAAAAUGCAAUUUUAUCGGAAACCCUCUGUAUAUUGUAAACAAACAACAUGGCGUCUAGCGAAAAGAUAAGAAGGACCGACAAGAUUUUAGACGAAAGAAAAUAUGACAAGGGAAAGUUGGUGCAUGCAAUUUUGACGUUGUGCUAUGACAUGGACACAAAAUCACCCGUUCUACUUGCUCCUCUAAAAAUGAAUGUCUGUAAUGCCGCUACAUCGAAGGGCACGACGUUCUCAAAGGCAUUUUGUGACACGGAGCCGUACGAUGAGUGCUAUAUGUUCGGGGACAUGUUCCUGGACGGUGUCGAAGUCUUAAGUAAUUACAUUGAAAACAACUCGUUACCGAAGGACAGGCAAUGGUUGUUUGUAUUUCAGAAGCUACUAGAUUUCCUAAAUGGUAAUAGGAGUAUCAACCUCCCUGAUACACAGGGCUUUGAGUCCAUGUCAGAAACUGAGAGAACAGUGAUCGUGGCCAAUCAUUUACUUGGCAAACUUGGAACUUCUUCUUGCUUCAUGAUUGACAAGAAUUUUGGUCGAAGAAAACAAGAGAACUGUUUUUGUGGUGAAGAGUCUUGCAAGAUGACUGGAGAAUAUGGAGACACAACUAUAGGAAAUGUGGAGGUAUGGCAUGGGAACUUAGACGUUAUUGUCAACAGUGAUUUAGCAGUUGUGGAACCUCUUGAUGAAGAUUCAGAGAAUGGUUCUGAUGGAAACUCUGCUGUUGAACAUUGUCUCCAAAGGAACCACCAAAUCAUUGCACAAACAAUAGUGUUCUCUUUCUUUCAGAAGAAAAGACAUCCAGAAAGGAACAAUUUUCUAACACCAUGCAUCAGUAUUAGAAGUACGGAACUGAGAGUUAUGUUGUAUGAUUCUGAGCAUGAUGUUUUGCUGGAGAGCUCAAGUGUUCCUCUGUUCAACAAUGACUCUUCAUUGGAAUUUUCUUUGCAAGCUAUUCUUGUGUGUUGGCUAACAGUGAACUACAAGUACUUUUGUAGCGGUUUAUGUGAAGAAUACCAACAGCACAAGAGCAAUUUUUUUGUCCAUGUCAAAGAAAAAAUCCAAAUUUAUGAGGAGGAACUAUCAUUAGGAAACGUCGGCAAUUCUCAACUUAAUGAACAGAAACUACUUCAGCGUCCUUCUAAUGUGGUUCGUAGUAAGGAUCUACGUGAUGCUACAAGUGGCCUUUAUUUGUGUUUGGCAAGAGUGUCUCAGUCUGAUUGUUCAGAUAAAAGAUACUGUGGAUUAGCUAAUUAGGGAAAAAAUCCAGAUUUUUUUUGGGGGGGGGGGAUAUUGGAAUUCAUGGACCAAUGAAUAGAUAUUGAACCUGCCUCCUUUGCAGUUGUUGCUGCAGCAUCCCAAGCCUGAAUUAAAAUCUACUGAGCACCCAAUAUCAGCAGAUUUUCUGACGAAUAAAAUGUUGUACUUGUUACAUGUAAUAUAUGUAGAUAAAAAUUUUACUUGCGUGACAACAAAUCUGGUAUAAAAGAUUACAGAAAC